rnacentral:rRNA from 1 species
UAACGCUAGCCCAAACUAUCGCCAAUAAACUAAUUCACUAUUUAAAAUAAAACAUUCACACAGAAAAAGUAUAGGAGAUAGAAAUUUAUCCACGGAGCCAUAGAAAAAGUACCGCAAGGGAAAGAUGAAAUAAUUAAUUCACAGUACAACAAAGCAUAGAUUGACCCUAUUACCUUUUGCAUCAUGAAUUAACUAGAAACAUAUUUACAAAAAGCCCCUGUGUAAAUAACCCCGAAACCAAACGAGCUACUUUUGAGCAGCUAACAAUGAGCAAACCCGUCUAUGUAGCAAAAUAGUGGGAAGAUUUAAAAGUAGAGGUGAAAAGCCUACCGAGUUUGGUGAUAGCUGGUUGUCCAAACAAGGAUAUCAGUUCAACUUUAAGCCAUUUCCAAAGAAAAAUAAAUCUUAAUAAAGACUUAAAAGCUAAUCUAUAGAGGGACAGCUCUAUAAAUAAGGAAAAACCUUGCAUAGAGGGUAAAGUAACAACACCACCACAGUAGGCCUAAGAGCAGCCAUCAAUUAAGAAAGCGUUCAAGCUCAACAAACCACAUAAAACACAAUACCAAAACUAAGAACUGACCCCCUAAACUAAAAUUGGACUAAUCUAUAAAAACAUAGAAGAAAUAAUGUUAAUAUUAGUAACAAGAAAUUAUUCUCCGGGCACAAGUUUAUAUCUAACCGAAUAAUCACUGAUAGUUAACAAUUAUAUAAAAACAAACACAUAUUAACAACUUAUUGAUACAACUGUUAACCCAACACAGGAGUGCCGCAAGGAAAGACUAAAAAAAGUAAAAGGAAUUCAGCAAA